rnacentral:tRNA from 1 species
GGGGCUGUAGCUCAGUGGUAGAGCACUUACCUCUCAGGUGGGAGGCCAUGGGUUUGCUCCUCAGUACCA